rnacentral:rRNA from 1 species
GACGAACGCUGGCGGCGUGCCUAAUACAUGCAAGUCGAACGGUCUUUUCUAUGGAAGCUUGCUUCCACUGAGAAGAUAGUGGCGAACGGGUGAGUAACACGUGGGUAACCUGCCCAUAAGAGGGGGAUAACAUCCGGAAACGGGUGCUAAUACCGCAUAGUUUUCUUGAUUGCAUGAUCGAGAAAGGAAAGACGGCCUUUGUGCUGUCGCUUAUGGAUGGACCCGCGGCGUAUUAGUUAGUUGGUGAGGUAACGGCUUACCAAGACGAUGAUACGUAGACGACCUGAGAGGGUGAUCGGCCACAUUGGGACUGAGACACGGCCCGAACUCCUACGGGAGGCAGCAGUAGGGAAUCUUCCGCAAUGGACGAAAGUCUGACGGAGCAACGCCGCGUGAGUGAAGAGGGUUUUCGGAUCGUAAAACUCUGUUGUCAGAGAAGAACAAGUUGGAGAGUAACUGCUCCAGCCUUGACGGUAUCUGACCAGAAAGCCACGGCUAACUACGUGCCAGCCGCCGCGGUAAGAC